GCACUUAAUAAAGUCACCGUGGCCAAGUGCGUUCCCUUCAACUCCUGAAUCUCCCCCAUCUGUGUCUAGGCUGGGAUUUUACAGACAGGAAACAAGGCUCAGAGACGGAAGGCAGCUUAGCCAAGGCUACACAGCCAGAGAGGGAAAGAGGCAGGACUCCAGCCCAGAGCUCCUGAUCCCAAGGCUGAGCUCCUUCCAGCUGCCACGGCGAUGCUCUUGCUCAGCAAGCGCAGCUGUCUGGGGCUUGCAGCCCAGUGCAGGGAAUGUCCAGGGCACCGCCAGCGUCCCCCACCGGCCCAACUUCCCAGCUCUCUGGAAGGGAGCAAGAUCUACCGCCUACCCCCGGACACACAGAUGCUAUGAAAAGCACUACGAAAGUUCGAAGACAGGAAGGAUGAUCGUGAGUUUCCUGGGGGGUGGGGUGGCUGGAUUUGGUCAAGGGAGGCCACCGCUGGCAGCGGUGGGACCCAAGGGGUGGCCGCGCAAGCUUCGUGCCCGACGAGGGAAGAGCCUCCCGACGGCACGCAGGCUGCAGGCUUCUGUGGCUGCCCCAUGGCUCCCACACACACUAAGACAGAGGACCCUGAAUACCUAAUGACUUUUAUUUGAGGUUGCAAAGCAAUUCCUGCUGGAUGACCCAUUCUUCCUCCCAGCUCCAGCUGCGAGACUCCUCUUCCUCUCCCAUCUGCGCUCAAAGACUCACUGGAGAAUCUGUUUGCAAGAGAGUUAGAGUCCUGUUCACAGCCCCACACGCCUUCAGCGUCUCUGCACAAACUCAUCUGGGGAGAAAACAUACCCUGGGUCUGGACUGCUGGCCCCGAGGGAGCCUCUCUUAGCUCCCACACUCCCCACCAUCUAUUGAUCACAGACAUAUGAGUUUCUGGGCCUCAGUUUCCCCAGUGUGACUCCCUGCCUGUCUCCAUGGCCAGCAGGGACCUAGCCCUGCCCCUCGCCAGCUGGGCCCUAGUCCUUGGGCUCACGGGAUGCUCCCCAACUCGCCACACCCUCUCUUCCAGGUCUCUGCACGCACUGCCUCUGCUGGGGCUGCUGUUGGCACCUCUCCGGCUCUGGGGACAUUCCCAUUCACUAGCUAACACCUCGGCUGGACGUUGUCCGAGCAAUUCGUUCCUGACAGACGGCUCUGGUGCCAACGCUCAUCAGUCCCUUCCUCCACUGUCCUAGUUGUGCUUCCUACAUCUCUCCAGGGUGGCCGGGACAUGUGUGCUUCUGGAUCCUUGUCCAGGCCAGGAAUGUCCCAAGGCCACGGUCUUGCUCACGGUGCUUUGACUCCUGGUGGCACGCUCGCGUGGAUGCUGAUCCAACAGUGGCUGAAUAUGUGACUUGGUGAGCGUGGGGGAUCUGGGAGGUGAGUCUCUGUCUCUCUCUGCAUACAUAACCUUUGUAAAAUGUAUAAGAGAAAGAACUUUAGAAGCCUCCUGGGCACCCUUGUAUAAGCAGAGCUUUGGGGACUAGGGAAGAGGAGCUGUCCCCACAUGGAGGAGGCGAGGGAGGAGACAGCAUUGCAGGAGAUGCACUGGGAGGGUAGGGUGGCCAGAGUCACCCUGAGAUGGACAAAGCCCUCUUGGGAGCCCAUGGAAGCUCUUAGCAGGACUCCCCACUGCCCUCAGAUGUAGGCUUGAGCCGCCUUAAGGGGAAAUUAAGGAAGAGGCAGGAAGAGUGGGGUGACCAAGCUACAGUCACUAGGGUUACAAGCUGGGACCCCUCAAUGUCUCUGUGUCCCCCAGAGCUCAUGUCCUCUGCCGGCCUCGAUCUCACACGCAGGCUCUCUCUGCCUGUCACACCUGCUCUUUCUCCUCUUUCUGAGAUUUUUCUCAGUCGGGCCCAAUGCACAUUUAUUGAGGGGCUACUAUAGGCCACCUCUGAGAAAGCCUUACUGAUUGCCGAUCGUCUCCCCAGGCUGGCUCAGGUGCCCUUUGCCAUUCACCCCAUCCCCUGCUCAGCUGUCCUCGGCCUUUGAGCUGGGGUGGCCAGCCUGUGAGCUCCUUGUACCUGGCCAUGGCCUAGUACAGGGCACAAGUUUAGUAGGUGCCUGUUGGCUGAUGAGGGGCUGCAAGAGACAUACUGGAUUCUCCCAAGUUGAAAUCCACAACCCAUGUUGUGAGAAGCCCUUUGCCCAGUGGGAGGGCUUCUCUGCCCUCAUCAGUCAUGAUGGGCUUUGAGAACACGAGAUGCGCAGCAGUGGGGUUCACUCCAUCUCCAGGAUAUGCAAAGGCCACACUUGCCCUUCCGCCCCACUGUGAAAUCAGAGGUAGUGAAAGCAGCUAAUUGGCAGGGACAUGGGGACAUUCCACAUCGGAAAUGGGUCCUUGGCUCCAUUUGCCAGGAAGGUUGCAAAGUGGAUACAGGAACUUUCUGACUCCAGAGGAAUAGAUACAAAAUCACCAAACAGAUGGCCUCCCCAAUCCUCUCACUUCCCCACCAGGAUCCCAUUUCUGUCAUCUUGCAACAAUACAGAAUUUAUAGACAUCUUCCUUUCCUGCAAAGGAAAAUGAAGUCUGAGAAACACACCAUGUCCUUAAUAUGACAUUUCUCUUUCCCAAGGGUCCCCUCUGUGUCCUGUGGAACACUCAGUCCACGUCAGCUGCUGGGCCCAGAUGGGCCCUGUCUUCCAGGCAGCGGUCAGCACAGGAAGUGAAGAAUUUGCCUCCUCUCCUGACCCCACUCUGAGGUCACUUUGAGGUCUAUGAGAUCAAGGGUCUUGGGGGGGGCGGUUCCAGAGUGAGAACUGGAGAUGAAUUUUAGUUCAGCCACUGGUCUGAAGGAACACAGUGGUGAGUUAUAAGAUCUUGUUCACUAGUGUCUCCUCUUCAUAAAAUGAAGCAGUAAUACUCUCAGAAUUGUCUGAGGAUUCAAGCCCCAAAUUACCCAAAGUAUGGGUCUAACACAUAAAUAAUAUGUAAUAAACUCUGCUUCUCCUUCCCUUUCA
rnacentral:lncRNA from 12 species